UACGUAGGGUGCAAGCGUUGUCCGGAAUUAUUGGGCGUAAAGAGCUCGUAGGCGGUCUGUCACGUCGGGCGUGAAAAUCCAGGGCUUAACCCUGGACCUGCGUUCGAUACGGGCAGACUAGAGUUCGGUAGGGGAGACUGGAAUUCCUGGUGUAGCGGUGAAAUGCGCAGAUAUCGGGAGGAACACCAGUGGCGAAGGCGGUUGCCUGGAGCUUUGCUGACGCUGAGGCACGAAAGCGUGGGGAGCAAACAGG
rnacentral:rRNA from 1 species